UACGUAGGGUCCGAGCGUUGUCCGGAAUUACUGGGCGUAAAGAGCUCGUAGGUGGUUUGUCGCGUUGUCCGUGAAAACUCACAGCUCAACUGUGGGCGUGCGGGCGAUACGGGCAGACUGGAGUCGUGCAGGGGAGACUGGAAUUCCUGGUGUAGCGGUGGAAUGCGUAGAUAUCUGGAGGAACACCGGUGGCGAAGGCGGCAUCCUGGACCGGUAGUUGACGCUGAGGCGCGAAAGCCAGGGGAGCAAAGCGGGG
rnacentral:rRNA from 1 species